GUGAACGCUGGCGGUAGGCCUAACACAUGCACGUCGCACGGCAGCACAGUAAGAGCUUGCUCUUACGGGUGGCGAGUGGCGGACGGGUGAGGAAUACAUCGGAAUCUACUUUUUCGUGGGGGAUAACGUAGGGAAACUUACGCUAAUACCGCAUACGACCUACGGGUGAAAGCAGGGGAUCUUCGGACCUUGCGCGAUUGAAUGAGCCGAUGUCGGAUUAGCUAGUUGGCGGGGUAAAGGCCCACCAAGGCGACGAUCCGUAGCUGGUCUGAGAGGAUGAUCAGCCACACUGGAACUGAGACACGGUCCAGACUCCUACGGGAGGCAGCAGUGGGGAAUAUUGGACAAUGGGCGCAAGCCUGAUCCAGCCAUACCGCGUGGGUGAAGAAGGCCUUCGGGUUGUAAAGCCCUUUUGUUGGGAAAGAAAAGCAGCAGGUUAAUACCCCGCUGUUCUGACGGUACCUAAAGAAUAAGCACCGGCUAACUUCGUG
rnacentral:rRNA from 1 species